rnacentral:rRNA from 1 species
AUUGAACGCUGGCGGCAGGCCUAACACAUGCAAGUCGAGCGAGCGGCGGACGGGAUAGUAAUGUAUGUGGCUCUGCCCGAUAGAGGGGGAUAACUACCGGAAACUGUUGCUAAUACCGUCUACUAUCGGAUGAACCCAUGUGGGAUUAGCUAGUGGGUGGGGUAAAGGCUCACCAAGGCGACGAUCUCUAGCUGGUCUGAGAGGAUGAUCAGCCAAACUGGGACUGAGACACGGCCCAGACUCCUACGGGAGGCAGCAGUGGGGAAUAUUGGACAAUGGGCGCAAGCCUGAUGCAGCCAUGCCGCGUGUAUGAAGAAGGCCUUAGGAUUGUAAAGUACUUUCAGCGGGGAGGCGUUACCCACAGAAGAAGCACCGGCUAACUCCGUGCCAGCAGCCGCGGUAAUUC